rnacentral:lncRNA from 1 species
ACUGGGGGGUCAGAAUGGGGCUAGUAGAAGGAACAGACACGUAAAGCUUUAUGCGAACGGCAGCUCAUUUUUUGUGCGGUGGCAGGUCGUAGAUUCGUUGGGAGGGGUAGGAGGGUUUAAAGAAGACUAACUACAUAACCAAAUAAGCAAAGGAUACUUACACAGACUUGAGGACUUUCCUACUAUUUAAAAAAAUUGGGACGCCGUUUGAAAAAUCCUCAAAUUCUCAUAUCGAGUACUUACUGGAAACCAACUGGGGGACAUUCAUCGUAGAUUCCUCGUUGGGGUUAAACUGGGCUACAAAUUAUCAUCAUUUGGCUUCUAUGCCAUUAUAUUUUCUUCUGUUCUAAAACUUAUUCACUUGUAUUAGAUAUCUGUUAAUAAUUUUCUUAAAUAAAGAGGUUACAGAAAUAAAGAUGUGUACAUUUUAUAAUGUUUAUUUAAACCUUAAUACCUUUUUAUUUUUAUUGAGAAUAGACACGUUCUCAAACCAGAAAUGAAUAAUAAUAACAAAAUACAUGAUUUUACAAUUUUUAACCUUAUUUUUAGCAGUGUACCAAAACAAAAAUUUUGACAUGGCUGUCAAAUGUCACUGUCAUCUAAUAUUUACUUUACAUAAUAUAUUUUCCAUGUUGAAAACAAACAUUUUUAAUUAUGUAAAACCUUUACCAAUAAUAUCCACUUGUGAAUUUAUUUAAAAUAAACAUUAUCAUACCUUGUUAAAACAAAAAUCCAUGUCACAACACUUGGAACUUCAAAACUUUCCAUUCGAGAUUGGAGGGAGGGAAGAUAUUCAAAUCAUUACUAAACUGGAUAAAA